rnacentral:rRNA from 1 species
GACGAACGCUGGCGGCGUGCUUAACACAUGCAAGUCGAUCGGAAAGGCCCUGCUUUUGUGGGGUGCUCCAGUGCCGAACGGGUGAGUAACACGUGAGUAACCUGCCCUUGACUUUGGGAUAACUUCAGGAAACUGGGGCUAAUACCGGAUAGGAGCUCCUGCUGCAUGGUGGGGGUUGGAAAGUUUCGGCGGUUGGGGAUGGACUCGCGGCUUAUCAGCUUGUUGGUGGGGUAGUGGCUUACCAAGGCUUUGACGGGUAGCCGGCCUGAGAGGGUGACCGGCCACAUUGGGACUGAGAUACGGCCCAGACUCCUACGGGAGGCAGCAGUGGGGAAUAUUGCACAAUGGGCGGAAGCCUGAUGCAGCAACGCCGCGUGCGGGAUGACGGCCUUCGGGUUGUAAACCGCUUUCGCCUGUGACGAAGCGUGAGUGACGGUAAUGGGUAAAGAAGCACCGGCUAACUACGUG